UCCGGGAUCAGCCAUGGUUCUCUCUUAUAGCCAGGAUCAGCCAUGGUUCUCUCUUAUAGCCAGGAUCAGCCAUGGUUCUCUCUUAUAGCCCGGAUCAGUCAAGGUUCUCUCUUAUAGCCAGGAUCAGCCAUGGUUCUCUCUUAUAGCCCGGAUCAGUCAAGGUUCUCUCUUAUAGCCAGGAUCAGCCAUGGUUCUCUCUUAUAGCCCGGAUCAGUCAAGGUUCUCUCUUAUAGCCAGGAUCAGCCAUGGUUCUCUCUUAUAGCCCGGAUCAGCCAUGGUUCUCGCACCCACAUGCAGGUCGACACGCCUUCACGUUCUCCACAGCUGGUAACGAUACCGAGUGUACCCUGUGUCAUAUGAUGAACCUCUAAAUGUAUGCUGCAGUAUGUGUCACAUGUUGCACCAACAAUGUGUCCUACCGUAUGUGCCACCUGUUGAACCACUAAAUGUGUUCGUGUAGCAAGAUAAUAAAGGAAAGCAAACUUGUGUGUAAAGGGUGUUAAUUCUUUGGCCUUCUCAAGUGUCUUGUUAGUUGGUCUUUAUAUGUUUUACAUUACAGUAGGUGAUACAGAAACUCUGUUAUGUAUGUGUGUGUAGAGAGGGAGAGAAUAAAUAUAAACACACGACAUAAUUAUAAUACCUCUAUGGCAACUGACGUAGUCAUGUACACUAUCAAUACAACUAAUGUUUGAGUUUGUUUCAGUUGGAUAAGCGACCUACUUGCUUAUAAACCUUUUCAUGUUAUUCCUACAGGAAGUGAAUUAUGAAUAACAUAACUCCUGAUAAAGCGAUAUGUUACACGUAUGUAUACCACUUAGGUUUACCGAAGGUUAAUUUUUCAGAACUACGCGUUGGGUAGGAACCACUGAGGCAAGUCACUGUAUACAAACUUUUUCCACCAACAGUAACACCAAGAACGUGAUAUUGAUACAACAGCUGGAUGUAGCGUGUAACCUACAUCAAUAUACUCAGGCCAACACCGUCUCAAUCACGACCAUGGUGUGCAAGAAUAACAAUCCAUAACAUACCUCCUGUUGCAAUAUCUGGGAGGCUUUUGCGGUCAACUUUUAUUAACAGAAUGAGUUUCUCAACAUCUGGGCAAGCGACCAGUGCCUGUGCUCUCUCUCUCUCUCGAGCUGGUCACAUGUUGAGUUCCUUUAUAAUAAGGUAACACGUGUAUCGCAGGCUUACAACUCAAGUACCCCUCAGAUACCAGUGAGCGAAGCGGCCACAGGACUACGUAGUAUAAGUCAGUGACAAGACCAGUGACUCUAUCCAUUAGUACCAAUGCUGUGCCAGAUGAGCAUUACUUUGUGAGACUAACACCAAUCUACAACAUAAGCAACAGGCUGCACAUCACACAUGGACAGUAUGGUGUAUUGAUUUAACUUACCAUCAACACCUAAAGAGAACCAGACUUGACUAAUAACAAAGAAAGUGAGACAGUAGGACAGUUGGUGUAGGGGAUAGAGUGAGGUGGCUGGCUGCACUCCAGAGUUGUAGGAAUAAUGACCAUACAGGCAACAUGGAUCUGGCUCCUACUGCUACUUCAUUAUGACUGCAUGGUUCAGGCCAAAGUGCAGCUCACUCCAGAGGAAAUUGAAAUAAUAGGCAGCAAGCAUAACAUCAGCAGUAUAGUUGUUACACCAGCCCCUGCAACUACCACCAGCAACCCUUUUCAGGAAUCUAGUACUGAUUUUGAAGGGAAUACUACUAGCUCCUUUCCACAAG